ACGCACGUGUGCCUACGUGUCUUUGUGUGUAACUGUCAAAGAGGCGUGUCCCUGGGCUCUCCACCUGGAGCCGGAGGAUCCUUGUGAAGCCACGAUAAUCAGCAACGGCCUCGGUGACGGACACCACAUGCUCCAGGCCCACCAGGAGCCGUGUGAUCGCAAGUACAUUUCCCAAACUGGCGAGACGUGGUUUUCCCGGCUAUAAAAUGGAGGGAAGAGCGCCCAGCUGCUCCCAGUAUUAAGUGCUGCUGCCCAGAGGAGGCCAAAGUGUGGCUUCCCUAACCUCCAGUUGAAUGUCCAUGGAGCCUGUUUGGGCCAAUGAGACCAACGUGGAAGCCUGUUGGUUAUGGGAGAAAGUGUUGGCUUUCUUGGUAAACGGAGGCCAGUGCAGCUGCACCCGUCCUUCCUCCUUCCUCCUCUGAAGGUGGAUGUGAUAGCUGGAGCAGGAGACGCUGUUUUGUAACCACGAGGAAGAGGCCAAAGAGAAAGGUGAAGAAGCUGUC